GUGUUUGAAGCGUAGGUGUAGUGGGACAUAAGGAACCCAGCAGAGGACUUGAAGAAUUAGAUGAGACAAGCAGAUUUCAUUUCUUAAGCCAUGUGAUUCUAGACCAUUUGUGUGAGCAAGUGCUUUUUUUUUCCCCCGAGAAAGGUAAUGAGAAGAGUGUGAUGACAUAUAACAUGUUGAGACUAAUCCUAAAUUUGUUUUACCUUUGUCUCUGUAGUCCGACCUCACGAUAGAAAAAAUAUCUGCACUAGAAAACAGUAAGAAUUCUGACUUAGAGAAGAAGGAGGGAAGAAUAGAUGAUUUAUUAAGAGCCAACUGUGAUUUGAGACGGCAGAUUGAUGAACAGCAAAAGAUGCUAGAGAAAUACAAGGAACGAUUAAAUAGAUGUGUGACAAUGAGCAAGAAACUCCUUAUAGAAAAGGUCAGUGAAUAAUGUUGGUCUAAACUCUGUAUCCCAAGAUACUCAAUGUGUGUCAUUGUGUGGCUUCUUAUUCCUUACUUGAGAUGAAAAUAUUUAAAAGUAGAGCUUUUUAGGAACAUGAUUUGACAAUUAGAAUUUUUUCCUUGCAUGGACACCAGACCAAGCAUCCAGAGUGUUAAUUUG
rnacentral:sRNA from 1 species